GAUGCCGCGUGUGUGAAGAAGGCCUGCGGGUUGUAAAGCACUUCAGUGGGGAGGAGGAUAUAGGAGUUAAAAGCUAGAUAUAUUGGACGUUACCCACAGAAGAAGCACCGGCAAACUCCGUGCCAGCAGCCGCGGUAAUACGGAGGGUGCGAGCGUUAAUCGGAAUUACUGGGCGUAAAGGGUGCGUAGGCGGUACGUUAAGUUAUUUGUGAAAUACUUGGGCUUAACCUAGGUGCUGCAAAUAAUACUGGCGAGCUAGAGUAUGGUAGAGGGUAGUGGAAUUUCCGGUGUAGCGGUGAAAUGCGUAGAGAUCGGGAGGAACACUGGUGGCGAAGGCGGCUACCUGGACCAAUACUGACGCUGAGGCACGAAAGCGUGGGGAGCAAACAGGAUUAGAUACCCUGGUAGUCCAUGCUGUAAACGAUGUCAACUAGCUGUUUGUGCCAUGAAUGGUAUGAGUAGCGCAGCAAACGCGAUAAGUUGACCGCCUGGGGAGUACGGUCGCAAGAUUAAAACUCAAAGGAAUUGACGGGGGCCCGCACAAGCGGUGGAGCAUGUGGUUUACUUCGAUUGCAACGCGAAGAAC
rnacentral:rRNA from 1 species